rnacentral:lncRNA from 1 species
UUUCUUUGCAGAGAUUUUGUAUGUGCAUUUUAUGGAGUUACCUUUUUGUUUAUUAAUGACAUUUUCUGGACAUGUGUAAUAUAGAAAUCUUCAGAACUGCAUGUAGUUUUUUAAUGGAGCCUAAAAUUGUGUACCAUUUUACAUAAAAAUUUCAUAGGCAUUCAUUUCUUCUAUUUAAUGAAUGGCUUUCUACAUACCAAAUUUUCUUUUUGGAGCCAUUGAGAAUUUUUCUGAUUUGGUUUUGUGACUGAUGAUGAGUUUCUUCCUUGUUUCUUUUGCCUUCCCUACGUUGCUUUUAAUAAGCAUUCAGCCUCCUGACCUGAGGGGGAGAAAUUUAAUUAAUUGAAUAUGAGAUUCUUAUUUGGACUAUUAAGAGUACUUUUUUCCAUUUAUUUUUCCUUGCUUUCAGUAAAGAAGUUCUAUAACCAAAAAAUUAGACCCUGAAAUAAUCUAGUGAUGUUCAUUUAUUAGGCUUUAAAGUCCUAUCCCUCAUCCAUCACCACCUACCUUUGGCUUUCUGUCAGCAUGGAAAUUUGUUUGCCAGACCCAGCUCUAUUGCCCAGCCAUGACUGCUGGUCCAGUUCUGUUACAGCAUCACAUAGCUCAGUUACAUUAGGU